GAUGAACGCUGGCGGCGUGCCUAACACAUGCAAGUCGAACGGUUAAGGCGCCUUCGGGCGCGCAUAGAGUGGCGAACGGGUGAGUAACACGUGACCAACCUGCCCCCUCCUCCGGGACAACCUCGGGAAACCGAGGCUAAUACCGGAUGCUCCCGCCGGGCCGCAUGGCCGGGCGGGGAAAGCCCAGGCGGGAGGGGAUGGGGUCGCGGCCCAUCAGGUAGUAGGCGGGGUGACGGCCCACCUAGCUGACGACGGGUAGCCGCGCUGAGAGGCGGACCGGCCACAUUGGGACUGAGACACGGCCCAGACUCCUACGGGAGGCAGCAGUGGGGAAUUUUGCGCAAUGGGGGCAACCCUGACGCAGCAACGCCGCGUGCGGGACGAAGGCCUUCGGGUCGUAAACCGCUUUCAGCAGGGAAGAAGAAUGACGGUACCUGCAGAAGAAGCCCCGGCUAACUACGUG
rnacentral:rRNA from 1 species